UCGGAUGCCACUUCCCUGACCCCUUCUGUCUUCUGACUCAAAAGUGAAUGCUUUGGAGAUACACACCCUCUGUUGUCAUCACAUGGAAAGAGUUGAUGGAUGGCACCAGGAGAGGAAGCUUGUUUCUUUGAUGGCAUUUCGUUCCAUUAAAAGCAUUCUACUGAUCUACUUGGAUUAUUCCUGAGUUUCUGCAAGACUGAGGAACUUUCCAGAAGGCUCUCAGCACCUUCGAGAUGAUCCAGAUGGCUUCUCCCUCCUCUGAACUAUUACUUUUGGUCAGUCUCCAAGCAUUUCCUGAACCAGGGUCUUCCUUUCUUCCAGGAGACGGCUGGAAACAUCCUCCUUGAGGGUAGCGGCCACCCUGUAUACAUCUCUUCAGAGCCCAGCGCUGGAAACCACAUCAAGAAGACUUUGUUUUGGUGCCCCAAGAGGAUUAACCUACUAAAUCCUACUAGCAAGUUUCUGGAGAACUCUAUAAAUUGUAGCAAAUCAAUAACCUCUGAAGUGUAACCUCUACUUGGACUGCAGCCAUUGAGAAGAUGUUCUCUAUACCUUCAAGGACAGAGGUAUCUUGGUGUCAGGAGGCAAGUUACUCCUUCAAGCACUGAUGUCUAUGUUGCUUGUGAUUCUCUGUCCUACAGCUUUGAUUGUAUAAUAUAUGCUGGGUUAAUUUUAAGUGUGUGUGUGUGUGUGUGUGUGUGUGUGUGUGUGUGUGUCUUAAUGAUUUUUGUUCUUCUAUUCUCUUUGCAUUCCAAAAAAGCAGUGAUAUGUAAAAGCAAAUCGGUGUGACACAUGAAUCUUAUUUAUAAAGCACAAGGCCCUGCCCUCACCUUGGUGAACCAGAAAAGAAUUUUCAUCUUGAAGGUGUGUCAGGUCCUAAGAAUUCCAUAAGUAUGAGUUGUUCUGGACUAAGGCAAUAAUGUAGAUAUUGAAGCGCUCAAUAUGGUUUCUUGACAUGAAUUAAAGAUAUUAACGUGCAUGAGCUUUGUGAUGGCUAAAAAUGAUUUGCCCUUACAUCUGAGUUUGUGAUUAGGGAUGGUAGAUGUUAGUAGAGACCUACUUCUAUAUAGAUUAUGUAAGUUUAUUUGAACCAGUUUACUGUCCUGACAUUAUGAAGUUCAUUCUCCAGCCAGUAAGUAAAAACAAAACAAAACAAAACAAAACACAUAAAAUUGAGGUCAAAACAAAUUUAUGGCCACUUAUUUCUUUCCUAAAUACAGUUUUUCCCUCUUAAGACAUAAAUAUUAACAAGUGUGGGAAGAAAUUCAAUGAUCAUUAAUAUUUUCAUUUGAUGGAAUCAAAGAUCCAUCCUGUAGAUAACAGUUUCACCACGAAUUUUGCAUUAGGCAUAGUACCAAGAGCUUUACUGAAUUAACUCAUUUAAUCCUCACAAUAUGAAUUUAAAGCAUGCAUGGAACAAAUGUGGACAAGUCUUUAGGAAAACUUCUCCCUUACUCUGUAUCAGAGGAGCCAAACUUGGAGAAACCUGUAAUUGUUGCCUCUGGCUAGGAAUCUAUCUCCUGAUUUCUACUUUCAAACCUCCCAUUCAUCAAAUACUGCCUCCCCCAUGAUUUUCCUACAACAUGCAAUUUAAUUUUCCUCAUUUAAAAUACAUCCCCAAAGCCAUCUCGUUUUGUUCUCCUCUGUCAUUGAUCCUAUUCUGUCAGACAGUGUGGUUCUCUGAGGAUGUGUGAUGUGCUCUUAGCAAGGACUUUGGAAUCACGAGACAUUGGUUUGAUGUUUCUGAGGCUCACUGAGUAAGUGGUACAAAAAGCAGCAUUACUUACCUCUGGGGUCUUAUGAGACCUAAUCAGAAAGCCUAGAGAUAAUACUUUGUUGACUGGGAACAUGGUUUAAAAAAAAAAAACGUAUUACUGAACACAUUGAAGCAAGUGCUGAGCUGAGUUCAUUUUUUGUGUGUUCUAGGAAACCUUAAAAGAUGCCUGGGAACUAGCCGUCUUGCUCAAUGUAUGUCAAAUAAAUAUUUUUAGGAUAGAACCAGAUACCUUCUUAAUAGAUAAACAGCUCUGAAACAUCUCAAGAGCUUGUUCCCCAAGACUCAGAGGCAGGAUAGGCAGAUCCUUAGCAGGUGCUGGGUUCUUUGAAGCAAAUGAGGCACCACAUUUUCCUUUGAUGGCUGGGAGGACACAAGACAGAGGGAGAUGCUUUCUUCAGCAAAGGAGAAAGUACUCUUUUUAAGAGGCUUCCUUAAUGUGGCAAAAUCCUUCAUCAUGAGGCCAGAAGACUCAAUGUCAGGCAUGUGAGAGGCAUGCUCUAUAUGGGGUAGAAGGACAACAUUUGGCCAAAUUUGAUUCUCAAAUGCAGGCAUGUUUGGUGCCUCUGCACCUCUGGAAGGAAGGCUGUGUUUGUGCAGUGAUGGACUAAUUUCCAUGGCAACAGAGUGUCUGGUGUCAGAAGAAUAGAAAUGAAAGCUCCAUGUGCCAACACUAUAUUUAUGUGAUGUUUAUCUCAUUGAUUCUUACAACGCAAAGAGGGCUUGAUCUCUCAGCAAGCGUGCUUUUGUCCAAAUGAUGCCAAUGCAGAAAUCAUGCCAUUUCUAUCAAUAUUUCACAUCUAAAGGUUGGGUGUACUAUUUUUGUCUUGUGAAGUUUUGAUAGUCUCAAUGGAGCCUUUAGGCUCCUUUCUACAGGUUUUGUUAGAGCUUCAUGGGGUGGCACCAGGAAUGGUGAAGGAGGCAGCUAGGGUCUGGGUUUUGGUUUCCUAAGAAUGCAGCAAUGUCACUGAGCAGCCACUUUCUGCAGGAUGAGGAGAGUGAAAAAAUGCACUCAAAGGACUGAAUGGACCCUUAACUCCUAAGGGCCAACCAGACAGAAUGUGAAUGAGCAGAGAGGCUGGUCUGAUCUAUUGUAAGCACUCUGCUCCCUCUUGCUACAAGUGUCUUCUUGAAAUUGAUACCCUCCCCUCCACCCCUAAGAAAAGCUCACCUCUCAGCCUUGAGUCCCAAUCUUUAAUGCCUUCCAAGACUUUUCUCUCUCUCUCUUUCUCUUUUUUUUUCUUUUUUCUACUAUGAUCUGUGCCCUGAAUACCUCAAACCAAAGACUUCACUCUUGGCUUCUUUCCUGACCCCAGGCUUCUCCACAAACCACAGAGUCCUAUAGUGUUGCUUCAUAGGCCCUUACCCUUUCUAACUCAUUCCUGUCUUCCCAAACCAUAGGCCUGACACAUCAUGGGAAACCCAACCACCCCUACCUUGUUCUUUACCCCAGAUACUGGGUGUCAAGCAGUCUUUCCAAAAGGAAGGUACUUUUUAUCCUGUUGGUUGGCAAGCUGCCCACAGAGAGAAUGUAGAUGAGCACUUUUAAAAGUGAAUGAGGUCGGGCGUGGUGGCUCAUGACUGUAAUCCCAGCACUAUGGGAGGCCGAGGCAGGCAGAUCAUGAGGUCAGGAGUUCGAGACCAGCCUGGCCAGCAUGGUGAAACCCUAUCUCUACUAAAAAUACAAAAAAAUUAGCCAGGCAUGGUGCCAUGUGCCUGUAGUCCCCACUACUCAGUAGGCUGAGGCAGGAGAAUUGCUUGAACCUGGCAGGUGGAGUUUGCAGUGAGUCGAGAUCGCAACACUGCACUCCAGCCUGGGCAACAGAGCGAGACUCUCUCAAAAAAAAGUAAAUAAGUAGAGAUUAAAAUGUCCCCAAGUUACUGCAGUAAUGGUUGUGCAUAUCUGUGAACAAAUAAAACCCAUUCAAUUGUACACUUUAAGUGGGUGAAUUGAAUAUAUGGGAUGUGAAUUACAUCUCAAUAAAGCAAUUUUACAAUAGAUCUUAUGUAUGACAUGGUGACUAUAGCUAAUAACAAUGUAUUGCAUAUUUAAAAUUUGCUAAGGGACUGCAAAAAAUUAUAAGUAUGUGAGGUAAUGCAUGCUGUAUCUAGAUUGAUUUAGCCAUUCCACAGUGUAUAUAUAUUUUAAAACAUUAUGUGUAGACCAUAAAUAUAUGUACUUUCAACAAAGCUAAAUUAAAAAUAAAGCUUUUUUAAAAAAGUAGGUAGACAAAUACAGCCAUCACAUAAAACUCAUGCAAUAAAAAUUUUAAAAUGAAUGUAUUUGGAGAAAAUCUGAGUGGAUUUAGAGAAGAAUGCUGUAUACACCAUAGUAUGGUGUAAGUGGUUUGGUGGUAUGUUGUAGUAUAUAAUAUGUGGAUGUGGUAUGUGAAUGUGUUCAUGGAAGUUUAUAAAAAGUUGGUAUGAUGGAAAAAGCUUUGGUAUUUCUCCUGACAAAUCACUUCUGAGCUCCUUCUUGCUGUUUGCUGCUACUGCUUGAAUGUUCAAUAAACAUUUUGGAUCACUUUAUAUCUUUAUAUGAGCCAGGCACUCUUCAAAGCAGCAAGGACACAUCAGUGAGCAAGAUGGGCAGAGUCCCCGCUCUCAAGAAGUCCAUAUUCUACGUCGGGAGGCAGACAGAAGCCAAAUCAACAAAUGAAUAAACGGCAAUCCAAGCUGGACUUCAGGA
rnacentral:lncRNA from 1 species